GACGGAGGGUGCAAGCGUUGUUCGGAAUUACUGGGCGUAAAGCGCGGGCAGGUGGCCUUUUACGUCCUUUGUGAAAUUCCGGAGCUCAACUCCGGAUGUGCAUAGGAUACUGGAAGGCUAGAGACUGGUAGAGGCGAGCGGAAUUCCUGGUGUAGCGGUGGAAUGCGUAGAUAUCAGGAAGAACACCGGUGGCGAAGGCGGCUCGCUGGGCCAGUUCUGACACUCAUCCGCGAAAGCGUGGGGAGCAAACAGG
rnacentral:rRNA from 1 species